UACGUAGGGUCCGAGCGUUGUCCGGAAUUAUUGGGCGUAAAGAGCUCGUAGGCGGUUUGUCGCGUCUGCUGUGAAAUCCCGAGGCUCAACCUCGGGCCUGCAGUGGGUACGGGCAGACUGGAGUGCGGUAGGGGAGAAUGGAAUUCCUGGUGUAGCGGUGGAAUGCGCAGAUAUCAGGAGGAACACCGGUGGCGAAGGCGGCUUUCUGGGCCUUACCUGACGCUGAGGAGCGAAAGCUGGGGGAGCAAACAGG
rnacentral:rRNA from 1 species